rnacentral:rRNA from 1 species
UACGUAGGGUGCGAGCGUUGUCCGGAAUUAUUGGGCGUAAAGAGCUCGUAGGCGGUCUGUCGCGUCGAUCGUGAAAACUUGGGGCUUAACCCUGAGCUUGCGGUCGAUACGGGCAUGACUGGAGUUCGGCAGGGGAGACUGGAAUUCCUGGUGUAGCGGUGAAAUGCGCAGAUAUCAGGAGGAACACCGGUGGCGAAGGCGGGUCUCUGGGCCGAUACUGACGCUGAGGAACGAAAGCGUGGGGAGCGAACAGG